rnacentral:rRNA from 1 species
AUUGAACGCUGGCGGCAGGCCUAACACAUGCAAGUCGAGCGGAGCGGCGGACGGGCGAGUAAUGCCUAGGAAUCUGCCUGGUAGUGGGGGAUAACGUCCGGGAACGGGCGCUAAUACCGCAUACUAUCAGAUGAGCCUAGGUCGGAGUAGCGAGUUGGUGGGGUAAAGGCCUACCAAGGCGACGAUGCGUAACUUGACUGAGAGGAUGAUCAGUCACACGUGAAAUGAGAUACUGUCCAGAAUUUGACGGGAGGCAGCAGCGGGAAAUAUUGGACAAGGGGCAAAAGCGUGAACCAGCCAUUCGGCGUGUGUGAAGAAGGGCAACGGAGUGUAAAGCACGUUAAGUUGGGAGGCGUUACCAACAGAAUAAGCACCGGCUAACUUCGUGCCAGCCGCCGCGGUAAUUC